UGCUCUCUCGUUAGGACGCUGUUGUUUAGAAGAGCUAGCUAACUAUAGGGUGACCAGACGUCCCCGUUUUUGGUGGCCUGUCCCCGGAAAUGUCCCCGUUUUUAACUGUGCGUUAAAAACAGACCGCAAAGUGAAAUAUUUUAUUUGGCAAGAAAGACCGGGCAGCAGAGCCUACGGGUUGAUGUCUCAAUCGCGUUGUGCUUGUUUAGGCCAACAGAGGGGGCUGCUCGCUAUAUAGCAACUUCAUUCACUCUUCUUCUACCAACUACUUGCUCGCGAUAGUUUUAGAGAAAACUGCUGUGGAAAACUCGGCCAGAAGCUAGCAAGUAUCAAGUGAAUCCACAACAUCACCACAAACGUCUUUUCAAGCCAGAAAUGUUCAUGGAUAACAGUAGCCGUGGAGAGGAAGACUGGAUAGGAAGAGGAGUGAAGGAGUCAGGAGGAAAGAUUGGAGAGGAAGAAGGAAAAAUUAAUGGAGUAAAAAGAGUGAAGCAAGGAGAGUGUAGAAGAGUGAGGUGGAAAGGUGGAGAAGGAAAGGAAGGAAGAGAGUGAAGAAAAGAGGAAUAAAAAGUUGAGUAAGAAGAGUGACACAAGGAGAGUGAAGAGCAGACAGAGGAGAUACAAUGACUCUUUCCAAGAAACGGAAAUGCACUCUUUAUGAAAAAGAGAAUUUCCAUUUAUAAACUCAGGUCAAGACAAUCGAAUGGUUCACUGCACCCUUUGUAAUUCCUCUCUUUCAAUUGGCAGCCGGAGAAGAACGGCAGUGGUAGAACAUCAGCAGACGAAAAAGCAUAAAGCCUCUGAGGGCCUGUGUUAGUAUGCCCUCUGGCUGAGACGCAAAGAAAGUUCAAGGAGAGGGGCUACAAGAAUGAUCAGAUUAAUAUAGCCAUUGAGAAAAUUCGAAACAAAACGAGACAUGACCUUUUAAGGUCCUUGUGGUAAAAAAUAAUGUAGGUAAAACAAAGCACGAAUUAAAAAUACGUAUCUCAGAGCAUCGUAGCACCAUUAAUUGUAAAACUUUACUUAUCCAGUUGCGGCCCACUUCUUGGAGGCAGGCCACUCGAUUUAGUCUCUGCGUUAUAUUGG